AAAGCUUCUUGCAGGAUAAAAAACUGCAGUUCAAUCCAUUUCACGAUUUUCUCUUGCAAACCCUAAGCUCUCCAGUUGCAACCUCGCUUUGGACCCACCACUGCUGUUUUCGGUCAUUGUCGCCGUCUUUAUCUUUCUCCAAUUUGAAGCCAUUGCUCUCCCUCACUGUUCCCGUCGCUCAGUACUUUGAAUCCAUCACCGCAACUGUUGUUGUAGUUGAACUGAAAGAGGCGAGGUCGCAAGAAGUCCUAAAUUAGUGUGGAUGAGAUAUAUGUUCCACUCGCAUUAGUCUAUUCCUCAUUCUGUUAUGGAUACUAUCAAAAUCAAGACCGACAAUAUCAAUGAUAAACCUUUGGAAAGUGAGUUUUCAUGUGUGAAGAUAAAGAUCUUAUUCUUUGCCAGAGCUCGGGACUUAACUGGCUUAACGGAGAUGCCACUAGAGCUGUCAUCUGGUAGUACUACCCGUGAUUGUUUGAAUAAGCUUGUUGCUAAGUUCCCCUGUUUGGAAGAGAUUCGUGGCUGCAUAGUUCUUGCUCUAAAUGAGGAAUACACAACCGAAGAUUCGGUUGUCAAAGAAAAAGAUGAGCUGGCAAUUAUACCUCCAAUAAGUGGUGGCUAAUUAUUCUUGCAGAUUAUGCAAACCUUGGACGAGGCUAAUAGUUCAAGCAAAGAUAUGAAUUUCGGUACAUAUUCCUCUUCUGUAAUUUCUUGUGCUUCUCAAUAGUUGCAACAAAAUAUAAAAGGAUGUGGAAUAAAAACAAGACCAAUCUGGAAAUUACCUCUGUCUUAUGCUAUACCUUAAAGGAUUCAUUUGGAAAAAUGCAUCUCUUUUCGGAAUCAUAAGCUGUAAAUCCUAAAUAAUUAUGCACUGGGUGUUUGCCCAUGUGUACAAUGUGCUUUUAUUCCUUCCUUUAUUUUAUCGAAUUAAAUUAGUUUUGCUGAAUCUACAAUUGUAAAUGUCUUUUCUUCUUUGAUUAAU
rnacentral:misc_RNA from 1 species